GCAUCAUCUUCCACAAACGGGCUUUGCAGUCCUCAAUGUUAUUGUAUGUCCUAGAAGUCAAUCUUGACUGACGCAUACCAUAAUUUUAAGAUAUAUUUUUAUACUAACGAAUAGUUUUUAUAACCAUUCAUGUUAUAUGUAUCUAUGAAUUGUUAUAAAAAUUACUAAAGAUGAUUUUGUAUAUUCUCAAGGUAUUAAAAAUUUGAGACAUAUAUUAUCAAUGAUUAAUUUUUGAAUACUCUCGAUUGGAGGAUCGUCAUAGAGGAUAGUAAUCAAUCCAUUA
rnacentral:lncRNA from 1 species